GUGGACUGUGACUCCCUGACAAGUGAACACCUUCAGAUCCCCAAGAUGGUCUCCAGAGCUGUGAUGAUGAUGGUGUUGGUGGUGGCCGCUGUCCUGGUGGCGGCCCUGGCCGGUCCCGCGGCAGCCCCGGUAGGUCACCCGGGAUAUCUUGGCUACGGUGGAUAUGGUGGUUAUGGCGGAUAUGGUGGUUAUGGUGGAUAUCGUGGAUUUGGCUUCGGACGCGGGUUUGGAUAUGGAUAUGGACGCUGAAGACAAAACUUCGUCAUUCUUAUGUCUCAUAUACAAAUAUUCCAACUAUUCUGAAACCUUAUUUCAUAUUUCUGUACUAAAAUAUACAGUUUACGUUUA